rnacentral:rRNA from 1 species
UACGGAGGGUGCAAGCGUUGUCCGGAUUUAUUGGGUUUAAAGGGUGCGUAGGCGGCCCUGUAAGUCAGUGGUGAAAUACUGCAGCUUAACUGUAGCAUUGCCAUUGAUACUGUAGGGCUUGAGUACAGAUGAGGUAGGCGGAAUUGAUGGUGUAGCGGUGAAAUGCGCAGAUAUCAGGAGGAACACCAAUGGCGAAGGCAGCUCGCUGGGACGGUACUGACGCUGAGACGCGAAAGCGUGGGGAGCAAACAGG